AUUGAACGCUGGCGGCAUGCCUUACACAUGCAAGUCGAACGGUAACAGGUCUUCGGAUGCUGACGAGUGGCGAACGGGUGAGUAAUACAUCGGAACGUGCCCGAUCGUGGGGGAUAACGGAGCGAAAGCUUUGCUAAUACCGCAUACGAUCUACGGAUGAAAGCAGGGGACCGCAAGGCCUUGCGCGGACGGAGCGGCCGAUGGCAGAUUAGGUAGUUGGUGGGAUAAAAGCUUACCAAGCCGACGAUCUGUAGCUGGUCUGAGAGGACGACCAGCCACACUGGGACUGAGACACGGCCCAGACUCCCACGGGAGGCAGCAGUGGGGAAUUUUGGACAAUGGGCGAAAGCCUGAUCCAGCCAUGCCGCGUGCAGGAUGAAGGCCUUCGGGUUGUAAACUGCUUUUGUACGGAACGAAAAGACUCUUUCUAAUAAAGAGGGUCCAUGACGGUACCGUAAGAAUAAGCACCGGCUAACUACGUG
rnacentral:rRNA from 1 species